rnacentral:rRNA from 1 species
GAUGAACGCUGGCGGCGUGCCUAAUACAUGCAAGUCGAGCGAACAGACGAGGAGCUUGCUCCUCUGACGUUAGCGGCGGACGGGUGAGUAACACGUGGAUAACCUACCUAUAAGACUGGGAUAACUUCGGGAAACCGGAGCUAAUAACGGAUAAUAUAUUGAACCGCAUGGUUCAAUAGUGAAAGACGGUUUUGCUGUCACUUAUAGAUGGAUCCGCGCCGCAUUAGUUAGUUGGUAAGGUAACGGCUUACCAAGGCGACGAUGCGUAGCCGACCUGAGAGGGUGAUCGGCCACACUGGAACUGAGACACGGUCCAGACUCCUACGGGAGGCAGCAGUAGGGAAUCUUCCGCAAUGGGCGGAAGCCUGACGGAGCAACGCCGCGUGAGUGAUGAAGGUCUUCGGAUCGUAAAACUCUGUUAUUAGGGAAGAACAAAUGUGUAAGUAACUAUGCACGUCUUGACGGUACCUAAUCAGAAAGCCACGGCUAACUACGUG